rnacentral:rRNA from 1 species
UGAGGAAUAUUGGUCAAUGGGCGAGAGCCUGAACCAGCCAAGUAGCGUGCAGGAUGACGGCCCUAUGGGUUGUAAACUGCUUUUAUGUGGGGAUAAAGUGCGUGACGUGUCAUGCAUUGCAGGUACCACAUGAAUAAGGACCGGCUAAUUCCGUGCCAGCAGCCGCGGUAAUACGGAAGGUCCGGGCGUUAUCCGGAUUUAUUGGGUUUAAAGGGCGCGUAGGCUGUCUAUUAAGCGUGUUGUGAAAUUUACCGGCUCAACCGGUGGCUUGCAGCGCGAACUGGUUGACUUGAGUAUGCAGGAAGUAGGCGGAAUUCAUGGUGUAGCGGUGAAAUGCUUAGAUAUCAUGACGAACUCCGAUUGCGCAGGCAGCUUACUGUAGCAUAACUGACGCUGAUGCUCGAAAGUGCGGGUAUCAAACAGG